UAACUUCUGAUAAAGCAUGGCAGAA
rnacentral:piRNA from 1 species